UAGAGUUUGAUCCUGGCUCAGGAUGAACGCUAGCUACAGGCUUAACACAUGCAAGUCGAGGGGCAUCAGGAAGAAAGCUUGCUUUCUUUGCUGGCGACCGGCGCACGGGUGAGUAACACGUAUCCAACCUGCCCUUUACUCGGAGAUAGCCUUUCGAAAGAAAGAUUAAUACCCGAUAGCAUAAUGAUUCCGCAUGGUUUCAUUAUUAAAGGAUUCCGGUAAAGGAUGGGGAUGCGUUCCAUUAGGUUGUUGGUGAGGUAACGGCCCACCAAGCCUUCGAUGGAUAGGGGUUCUGAGAGGAAGGUCCCCCACAUUGGAACUGAGACACGGUCCAAACUCCUACGGGAGGCAGCAGUGAGGAAUAUUGGUCAAUGGGCGCUAGCCUGAACCAGCCAAGUAGCGUGAAGGGUGAAGGCUCUAUGGGUCGUACACUUCUUUUAUAUAAGAAUAAAGUGCAGUAUGUAUACUGUUUUGCAUGUAUUAUAUGAAUAAGGAACGGCUAACUCCGUGCCNGCCGCCGCGGUNNUNCGGNGGUUCCGCGCGUUUUCCGGNUUUNUUGGGUUUNNNGGGNGUGUCGGUGGNCUGGUNNGUCCGUUGUGNNNGUUUGCGGCUCNCCCGUNNNNUUGCCGUUGNUNCUGUCCGUCUUGNGUNCCGUNGNGGUGGGCGGNNUUCGUGGUGUNGCGGUGNNNUGCUUNGNUGUCCCGNNGNNCUCCGAUUGCGAGGCCAGCUCACCGGAAUGAGACGCACACUGAUGCUGGAAAGGGUGGGUCUCAAACAGGAUUAGAUACCCUGGUAGUCCACACAGUAACCGAUGAAUUCUCGCUGUUUGCGAUAUACAGUAAAGCGGCCAAGCGAAAGCAUUAAGUAUUCCACCUGGGGAGUACGCCGGCAACGGUGAAACUCAAAGGAAUUGACGGGGGCCCGCACAAGCGGAGGAACAUGUGGUUUAAUUCGAUGAUACGCGAGGAACCUUACCCGGGCUUAAAUUGCAGUGGAAUGAUGUGGAAACAUGUCAGUGAGCAAUCACCGCUGUGAAGGUGCUGCAUGGUUGUCGUCAGCUCGUGCCGUGAGGUGUCGGCUUAAGUGCCAUAACGAGCGCAACCCUUAUCUUUAGUUACUAACAGGUUAUGCUGAGGACUCUAGAGAGACUGCCGUCGUAAGAUGUGAGGAAGGUGGGGAUGACGUCAAAUCAGCACGGCCCUUACGUCCGGGGCUACACACGUGUUACAAUGGGGGGUACAGAAGGCAGCUAGCGGGUGACCGUAUGCUAAUCCCAAAAUCCUCUCUCAGUUCGGAUCGAAGUCUGCAACCCGACUUCGUGAAGCUGGAUUCGCUAGUAAUCGCGCAUCAGCCACGGCGCGGUGAAUACGUUCCCGGGCCUUGUACUCACCGCCCGUCAAG
rnacentral:rRNA from 1 species